rnacentral:rRNA from 1 species
UACGUAGGGGGGCAAGCGUUUGUCCGGAUUUAUUGGGCGUAAAGCGCGUGUAGGCGGCCAGGUAGGUCCGCUGUGAAAACCCGAGGCCUCAACCUCGGGACGUCGGCGGAAACCAUUUGGCUAGAGUCCGGAAGAGGAGAGUGGAAUUCCCGGUGUAGCGGUGAAAUGCGCAGAUAUCGGGAAGAACACCCGUGGCGAAGGCGGCUCUCUGGGACGGUACUGACGCUGAGACGCGA